AUGCUCUUUGAGAUAGCGUUGACCGUAAAUCCCUUAGCUUUCGAGGGAUUCGGAGAGGUCUACGAACCUGUGCUUCGGCUUUCGCUGGCGGGCUUUCGUCAUCCAUCACUGUCUGGGCCGUCGUUGUAAAGACGCGCAUCCGUACAGACACAUUGAUGAAGGGUGGAAGGUACCACGCUGUGGAUCCAAGCAGGAAGUUUAGGAGGUGUCACCGUCAAUCACGUAAGAAGUGA